AACGCACAUUGCGCCCGCUAGUAUUCUGGCGGGCAUGCCUGUUCGAGCGUCAUUUCAACCAUCAAGCCCUAGGCUUGUGUUGGGGCCCUGCGGCUGUCCGCAGCCCCCUAAAAACAGUGGCGGGCUCGCUAUAUACCGAGUGCAGUAGUUUACUCUUCGCUCAGGACAUGUAGUGGGUUCUUGCCGUAAAACCCCCCAUUUAUCAAGGUUGACCUCGGAUCAGGUAGGAAUACCCGCUGAACUUAA
rnacentral:misc_RNA from 1 species